UACGAAGGGGGCUAGCGUUGCUCGGAAUCACUGGGCGUAAAGCGCACGUAGGCGGAUCUUUAAGUCAGGGGUGAAAUCCUGGAGCUCAACUCCAGAACUGCCUUUGAUACUGGCGAUCUUGAGUCCGGGAGAGGUGAGUGGAACUGCGAGUGUAGAGGUGAAAUUCGUAGAUAUUCGCAAGAACACCAGUGGCGAAGGCGGCUCACUGGCCCGGUACUGACGCUGAGGCGCGACAGCGUGGGGAGCAAACAGG
rnacentral:rRNA from 1 species